rnacentral:rRNA from 1 species
UAACAAGGAUUCCCCUAGUAACGGCGAGUGAAGCGGGAAGAGCUCAAAUUUGAAAUCUGGCAGUCUUCGAUUGUCCGAGUUGUAAUCUAUAGAGGCGUUUUCCGUGCCGGACCGUGUCCAAGUCUCCUGGAAAGGAGUAUCAAAGAGGGUGAUAAUCCCGUACUUAACACGACCACCGGUGCUCUGUGAUACGUCUUCUACGAGUCGAGUUGUUUGGGAAUGCAGCUCAAAAUGGGUGGUGAAUUCCAUCUAAAGCUAAAUAUUGGCGAGAGACCGAUAGCGAACAAGUACCGUGAGGGAAAGAUGAAAAGCACUUUGGAAAGAGAGUUAAACAGUACGUGAAAUUGUUGAAAGGGAAACGAUUGAAGUCAGUCGUGUUCUUUGGAUUCAGCCAGUUCUGCUGGUCUACUUCCUUGGAACGGGUCAACAUCAGUUUUGUCCGGUGGAUAAAGGUAGUAGGAAUGUGACUUCUCCGGAAGUGUUAUAGCCUAUUAUCACAUACACUGGGUGAGACUGAGGACUGCAGCUCGCCUUUAUGGCCGGCCUUCGGGCACGUUCGAGCUUAGGAUGUUGACAUAAUGGCUUUAAACGACCC